UCUAUAACUACAAUUAUUGUUGAAAUCGACUUAAAUUUAAAAAAAAUUAUAGAACAAAUUUGGCUUAUACAAAAUGGUUGGAGUGAAGCCUGUAUCCGUGUGUCUGUCCAAGAAUAAAGACUUAGAUAUUGAACAACCACGCCAACGUUCUCGUUAUUUCACAACAGCAGACUUAGGACCAGCUGUAGUCUAUUUGUCGAAAGUAUUAAUUCUGGUUACAGCCGUUUUAUUUGUUUCAUGGAUGAUCUACUCCCACGCAUUGGAAUUCUAUUCAAAGGCUCUGAUGGAACGUAUGACUUCCUUUGGGAAGUCGCUAAUUGAUUAUAUUGGUGUAAGGAAUUACACUGUCAACGGCA